rnacentral:rRNA from 1 species
AUUGAACGCUGGCGGCAUGCCUUACACAUGCAAGUCGAACGGUAACAGUUCUUCGGAUGCUGACGAGUGGCGAACGGGUGAGUAAUACAUCGGAACGUGCCCGAUCGUGGGGGAUAACGAGGCGAAAGCUUUGCUAAUACCGCAUACGAUCUACGGAUGAAAUCGGGGGAUCUUCGGACCUCGCGCGGACGGAGCGGCCGAUGGCAGAUUAGGUAGUUGGUGGGAUAAAAGCUUACCAAGCCGACGAUCUGUAGCUGGUCUGAGAGGAUGAUCAGCCACACUGGGACUGAGACACGGCCCAGACUCCUACGGGAGGCAGCAGUGGGGAAUUUUGGACAAUGGGCGAAAGCCUGAUCCAGCCAUGCCGCGUGCAGGAUGAAGGCCUUCGGGUUGUAAACUGCUUUUGUACGGAACGAAAAGCCUCUUUCUAAUAAAGAGGGGUCAUGACGGUACCGUAAGAAUAAGCACCGGCUAACUACGUG